AAAGAACUGGCCAUCCAGAAUAAUUUCCAUGUAUGGCAGGAUUUGCAAUGGUCACUGGACUCAGAGCACAUGGGGAUCCUGUGAUGGAGACAUGGAGAAAGAAUAGCAAGUUUCCCUAGGAAGAUGGGCACCAGCCAGGCAGCUGGAGAAACAAUUGCUGGAGGACUUUAGAGCCCCAUGCAUGACUUCAUCUGCACAUUUCUCCCUCUCUCAUGGGAAUGCAGCUUCCUGCUUUCAAUUUCUAUGCGCAGAGAUACUUCAGGGCACAAGACUCCCAGGUUGUAGGAUAUCAUUCUUGGUGUUUGCAUUCAGGAAGUCCUGGGAGGGAGGAAGUCUCCCGGCCCAUCUUUUCUUGGAUACACGCAGUGAGGAGGCUGUGCCGGUGAACAGCGUGGGGAGCCUGAGAAGGUGCUGGGGACACAGGGGGUGUCCAUGAAGUGAGAAAGUGCCUAGGAGACCCGGGUUCAAAGCCAGACCCUACAUCAGCCUCUGCAUGUGGCCUUUCCCAUGCUCAGCCUCCUCAGAGAGGCCCAGGCCAAGGAUCCCUCAACCGGCGGGUUCAUCCCCUAGGUGGGAGUGUGGCUUCCCGCUCCAGGCUCAGGAGGUGCGCCUUUGUUCUACUUAAGUGUGCAUGUCACCUGGCACCUGGCCAAGGCCUCUGCUGCAUCUGUGCCAGGAGGGGAGAGAUGGAAUCCUUCACCCAGCCUGCGAGGGGUGCUGCAGACCAUCGUCCUGUGCUGGCUGCAGGCUGAGGCCUCUAACCAUGGGGCACAGAUACCCACUCUCAAAGCCCACCUUGUUCUGCUUCUUCUCUACACGAGUUCAGCCUCAUUCCACCCAGUGCCUGCGUGAGUCGUGUCUUCCUUGGCGACACCCACCAACCGCGGAGUGGGUUGACACUGAGACUGCUGCUCCUGGUGGCAGGCAUUGUUAUGCCAUUUGCUGUCCUCCACACAAUGAGACUCCUCCCUGGAGGCGGGGACGAGUCAUCAUCACCUUGACACCGUCUCUUCCUCUGUCUGAGUCCCAGCACCCUGCUCUGUAGCACCGGUAAGAGAAAAGCAGCCUCUGGCACCAAUGGCAAAGAAGCUGUGGAGAGAAAAGCGCCCAGUGCGGCCCAGGGGCACAGAGGCACCCAGUGCACAGGCACUACUGUUUGCCCCGGCGUGGCUGUUAUUACUACUAACGCCUGGGGCUUGUCCACAAACCUCACUGUGAAAAUCUCUUUCUAUGUACUCCACUCUAGACAAGAUGCCACCUGCUUCCCAAGCCUUGUAGUAACAUUGAUUCCAGGCUCAAAGAUCCCAUCAGCCUGCCAGUGUCUGCUUCUCUGCAUGUCCCCAGGAACCUAAGGGGCCAGGAUUACUGUAAAAGACCGGUAUUAGAAACUGAGUUGACUCCAGUCUCCCUUCAUGUGAACGCAACAGGACACGGCUCUGAAAUGCCAUACAACUGCGUCCCUGGCAACAGGUGUUGACCCUUCAAAGGAUGUCUGCCCAGGGUUGCCGAAACCCGGGGCACUCAGCUCUCCGUGGAAAUCACACGCACUCUGAUUCCAUGUCGUUGCCUGGUGCCAAAGAUCUUUGAUGUUAAGGCUGUGCUUUCUCUCUGCCCCUCUUCAUGGGGAGCUGAGAUAAGUUUAGAUUUUUGGCAGCAGGCUUUCUGCCCUAGCGCCCACAGAACAGGGUACUUGCGGCAGUGCUGGAGACAGCUGCACGUCAUGUGUCACAAGCAUGCGAGAGUGGGAGCGAGGGUGGAAUGCAUGGGGAGUGCUCUCUGCUGCGCACGGAGGUAGCAAACACCACCCUGUGUGCCCCUGAGUUAUUGCUGUGUGCAGACCACCUCCCAGGUCCUAGGGAGCACCCUCCUAGCCAGAUGUCCAAGGUGCCAGAAAUGACCCAUAGCAGCUGCUGUGGUCAAAAGGGAGGCCUGAGCCUGGGCAGUGGAGGCUGAGCCCCCAGGAGCAAUUUCUGCCCCAACCCACCCAGUCCUUCUAGCCAAGGUAGUCCUCAUGACUGUCCCUGCCACCUGUCCUGGUCCAGGAUGCUGCUCUUCCUGCUACCUGCCCACACUGGCUGUUCAUUUGACCUCUAGAAAACCUUCCUUUGCCUCUGGAAAUCCCAACCACAGCUGCCUUUAUUGAACACCUGCUAUAUACCUCAAGUGAAGUGCUUUACAUAGCUGAUGAGGACAACAGAAGCUCAGAGAGGUUAAGCUGCCUGCCUGGGAUUGCCCAGCUAAUAUAAGUGCCCUCAACCACAGAUGCCUGCCGUGCCGUCUCCCAUGGAAGCCGCAGGACCAAGCCACGGGACCCCACGUACAAGCAGCAGGGUGCAAGAACACCAGGUGCAGACUCCUCAGGCAUCAGCUCCCGGAGGCCUCUUCUCAGCAAGGACCCUGUUAUUUUCCCUGGCUGCCCUUAUUCCACCAAGGAGUUCUGAGCCUUAAAUCAAGGGUGUAGAGGCGAACACUUUUGUGAGAUGAAGGCUCUGUUUGCUAAGAGGGACUUGGGGAGGAUGAGCUCUGUUCUCCAUUCUUUCUAGCACAAGUUGUAGCUCAGAAUGGGGAAAGAAAAAGAUGAGAUUCAGAGUCAAACAGACCUGGCUUCAGAUCCCAGUUUUAGGACUUUUAGUGUAUGGCCCAGAGCAGUUAACUUGCCAGACUCUUUCUUUAUCUGUAAAAUGGGGUCCUCCAUAGGUUGGUUGCGUGGUUUAAAUUAUGUCUGCAAAGUGCAUAGUACAAGGUCCAGCAUCUUCCAAGGAUGUAACCCAUGGCAGAUGUUUAUCUUAUUUGCUCCAGGUUGACCUUGCACCCCACCAACCUGGCUUGCAGGGUCCCCUGGCCUCUGCUGGUUCCUCUUUGCUGCACA